CGUGAGAUGUUCGGUUAAGUCCGGCAACGAGCGCAACCCACAUCCUUAGUUGCCAGCAGUUCGGCUGGGCACUCUAGGGAAACUGCCCGUGAUAAGCGGGAGGAAGGUGUGGAUGACGUCAAGUCCUCAUGGCCCUUACGGGUUGGGCUACACACGUGCUACAAUGGCAGUGACAAUGGGUUAAUCCCAAAAAGCUGUCUCAGUUCGGAUUGGGGUCUGCAACUCGACCCCAUGAAGUCGGAAUCGCUAGUAAUCGCGUAACAGCAUGACACGGUGAAUACGUUCCCGGGCCUUGUACACACCGCCCGUCACACCAUGGGAGUUGGUUCUACCUGACGACGCUGCGCUAACCUUCGGGGGGCAGGCGGCCACGGUAGGAUCAGCGACUGGGGUGAAGUCGUAACAAGGUAGCCGUAGGGGAACCUGCGGCUGGAUCACCUCCUU
rnacentral:rRNA from 1 species